rnacentral:misc_RNA from 1 species
CAUACUUGCAAACAAAGUUAGGCAAAUACCCACAAUCACUUGUUUCUUCUUCACUAUAGAUUUGCUUAUUCCAGUACUUCAUUUUUCUCUGUCUAAGACUAAGAGAGAAAAUCAUGGAUUCCCAGGCGGUGAAGAGAACACCUUCUUCCCGCAAAGAAACUGAAAUGCUCCGAACAGCCAUGAAGCUGCUUCUAAUACUAGUGAUGCUGGGCUAUCUCAUGAUGUGGUUUAUGAUGCCCACUAACACAUACCGUCAUAUAUGGCUUCUCCAUAUCCGAAAUAAGUUUAAUUCCGCUUACUUUGGCAUACAAGGUUUGAUUCCUUUAGUUAAUUAAUUUCCUUUUCAUUUCAGAAACUGAUUUUCUAUAAUGGAGCUUUUGCACAUAUAUAUACAUCUAUUUCAGGUGCAACCCUGUUGAUAUACUUCUUCCCCAUUCUUUUCGUUGCUGUCUUGGGCUGUGUUUAUCUCCACCUGGGGAAGAGAUCAAAUCACAACAAUUUCGAAAGGCAAUUAUAAAUCCAUUUCAGGGUACCCUUUUUCUUUUGAUUUACUUCUUAACUUUCUAUUUCUAUCUCCACAGCAAUGGCAGAAAACACAUCUUGGCCACUUGGAAGAAUCCGAUGGUAGUGAAAGGCCCCCUAGGAAUCGUUUCUGGAGUAGAGCUGGCCUUCUUGAUCAUGUUCGUCGCACUACUAAUUUGGUCUCUAUCAACUUAUUUACAUAACAGCUUUGCUACUAUUACUCCGAAGAGAGGAGAGCAAGCAUGGGAAGCUAAACUGGAGAGUGCGGCCCUUAGGCUAGGGUUAAUUGGGAACAUAUGUCUGGCAUUUCUCUUCUUCCCGGUGACUCGUGGGUCAUCGGUGCUGCCACUGCUUGGGCUCACCUCUGAGGGUAGCAUUAAGUACCAUGUAUGGAUUGGUCAUAUGGUGAUGGCAUUCUUCACUGCACAUGGAGUUGGCUACAUCAUCUAUUGGGCUGUUACAAAUCAGAUUUCCGAGAUGCUGAAAUGGGGUAGGGCUGAGAUAUCAAACGUGGCUGGGGAGCUAUCUUUGCUGGCUGGGCUGGGCCUGUGGGCGACAACCUUCCCCCGCAUAAGGCGAAACAUGUUUGAGCUCUUCUUCUACACUCAUCAUCUCUACAUUCUCUUCAUGAUUUUCUUUCUCCUGCACGUUGCCAUCUCCUUCUCCUGUAUUAUGCUCCCUGGAUUUUACCUUUUCUUGGUCGAUCGCUACCUGAGAUUCUUACAAUCUCGACAAAGAGUUCGUUUAGUUUCAGCCCGCAUUUUGCCAUGUGAAACUUUAGAAAUCAACUUCUCUAAAAGCCCAGGUGAAAGAUUAAUCUCUACUUUUUUGUUUUUUUAUCAAGAGAAGACUCCUCUUGACUUUCUUACAAGUGAUGAUCAUAUAUAUUGAUGAUUGAUAUGUUUUUAACUUGUUUUGUAAUUUAUACUGCAAGGUUUGAGUUAUAAUCCAACCAGCGUUCUAUUUGUAAAUGUGCCUACCAUUUCUAAGCUGCAAUGGCAUCCAUUCACUGUCACUUCUAAUAGCAACUUAGAACAAGAGAUGUUGAGUGUUGUGCUUAAAAGUGAAGGGAGUUGGUCCAAGAAGCUGUAUCAGAUGCUUUCAUCACCUUCCUCAAUUGAUCGUCUUGAAGUUUCAGUUGAAGGACCUUAUGGACCUGCUUCAACUCAGUUUCUAAGGCAUGAUACUCUUGUGAUGGUGAGUGGAGGCAGUGGAAUUACUCCUUUCAUAUCUAUAAUUCGAGAACUCAUCUUUGCAGCCACAACAUACAAAUGCAAGACUCCACAAGUAAUCCUAAUUUGCUCAUUCAAGAACUCUUCAGACCUAACCAUGUUAGACCUGCUACUUCCAAUAGCUGGUACCCCACCAGCAAUUUCCAAUCUGCAACUUAAAAUUGACGCUUAUGUUACGAGAGAGAAAGAACCCUCAUUCAAUAACUCGAAACUCCUUCGAACUAUAUGGUUCAAACCCCACCCAACAGAUGCACCUGUUUCGCCCAUUUUAGGCCCCAGUAGCUGGCUCUGGCUUGGCGCUAUAAUAUCAUCUUCUUUUAUCAUUUUCCUCAUCAUAAUUGGCCUUAUUACCCGCUAUUAUAUUUAUCCUAUCGAUCACAACACCUUGAAAGUUUUCUCAUACUCUUUUCGAUCCUUUCUGAAUAUGUUAGUAAUAUGCAUAUGCAUAGCCAUGACAGCAAGUGCAGCAAUUUUGUGGAACAAGAAACAAAAUGCAAGGGAAGCAAAUCAGAUUAAGAACCUUGAAGCGUACACAUCAAGUAGAACACCAGGCUCAUGGUUAUAUGAUGCUGAGAGAGAAUCGGAAAGUCUCCCUCUUCAGUCUCUUGUCCAGGCUACUAACGUGCACUAUGGUGAAAGACCUGACCUAAAGAGAAUGCUGGUUGAUUGCAAAGGAUCAAGCGUGGGAGUUCUUGUUUGUGGUCCGAAGAAGAUGAGGCAUGAGAUUGCAACAAUUUGUUCAUCUGGAUUGGCAAAUAAUUUGCACUUUGAAUUCAUUAGCUUUAGUUGGUGAUCUCAUCUUUUUCUUCUUCAUUUUUUUGCGUGCGUGUGGGUGUUUUGGUUUUAGGGGGCUGCGGAAGACCCUGGACAAGUUUCAGUCGGUUCUGCUCCAAGUCACUUUAAGCAGCAAUAGGUUUCUGGAUUUGUAAUUUGUAGGGUUUGUAUACGUGGAAAAUUACUGUGCCAUUGGCCGUAUGAAAUCCAGUUGCGUUGUUCAUACGCAAAUUUUAUUGUUUAAUGCAAGUAUCAAGUGAUGCGCUUGAGGUUGUUGCCAUUUUGGUUUGCUCGUGAAUGAAUAGCCG